GAGUUGUAAUUUGUAGAGGAUGUUUCGGGCGCGGCGCCGGUCUAAGUCCCUUGGAACAGGGCGUCACAGAGGGUGAGAAUCCCGUAUGUGACCGGCGACCAACCCCAUGUGAAACCCCUUCGACGAGUCGAGUUGUUUGGGAAUGCAGCUCAAAAUGGGUGGUAAAUUUCAUCUAAAGCUAAAUACCGGCCAGAGACCGAUAGCGCACAAGUAGAGUGAUCGAAAGAUGAAAAGCACUUUGGAAAGAGAGUCAAACAGUACGUGAAAUUGUUGAAAGGGAAGCGCUUGCAACCAGACCUGUCCGCGGGCGUUCCACCUCCGUUCUCGGGGGCCCACUCGCCCGUGAUCAGGCCAGCAUCGGUUCGGGCGGCCGGAUAAAGGCCUUGGGAAUGUAGCUCCCCUCGGGGAGAACUUAUAGCCCUCGGUGCAAUGCGGCCAGCCAGGACCGAGGACCGCGCUUCGGCUAGGAUGCUGGCGUAAUGGUUGUAAGCGACCCGUCUUGAAACACGGACCAAGGAGUUAAUUAUCUAUGCGAGUGUUUGGGUGUCAAACCCAUGCGCGUAAUGAAAGUGAACGGAGGUGAGAACCCUUAAGGGCGCAUCAUCGACCGAUCCUGAUGUCUUCGGAUGGAUUUGAGUACGAGCAUAGCUAAUUUGACCCGAAAGAUAGUGAACUAUACCUGAAUAGGGUGAAGCCAGAGGAAACUC
rnacentral:rRNA from 1 species